UCACUGUCUCAACUCUCAAGACUGUUUAUUCCAUGCUGCUGAAGAAAAUGAUGGUUGGCACCAGGCUUAUGCUGUGUCUGUCCUUUCUCUGACACUCUGCAGUUUGCUAAAGAAGAUUGGCAUGUGGUUUACCCUGGCAAAAACGUUUGCUUGGAAUAUAUGUUGACAUUGACUAGUGGUAUCGGAAAAAACCAAUUCAGCUGCAGCCUGAGUCUUGGGGACCGGAAACAGCUGGAGCCCAACUGCCAUUAUCUCUGCCAGAAACAGAAUGCCUCAUGAGGAAAUGACAACUUGAACGUGACUGCAAGUAGCAAAACAGGGAAAUGCAGCAGUUGCUUCAAAGGGAUGAUUGGACCAGAGAAGGGCACUGUGCACUUGGCUAUAGCUGCUGUCCUGAAAGCUCUGUGAGCCAGAAGGAAAGGUGACACCCAUGGGACCUCAGUAAAUACUCCAAAAUGGUCUGCUUGGGAAAAAAGAAAGGUGUGAGCUUAAAUACAUCUGUACCUGAUGAAAACAGUUUGCAUCUCUUAGAGAGUGGGAAGGGGACUGUGUGAGAUGAAGCCUGCUGUUUGUUGGCAUCUUCUUGUGUGUACCAGGAGAGCAAUGUCAAAACUCAGAACAGAAAAUGUUAAAGUAUGGAUAUCUGGCUUAUUCAGGAUCCUCUUCCUGGCUGGGCUUCUCAGAUCACCAGUUAAAUCAGGCCUUAACAAUGCUAGAAACUGGUGCAGCAACCAGGGAACAUGU